rnacentral:lncRNA from 1 species
CUGGGUAUUAAUGAGGAUGGGGUACAGGUUAUCCACCAUGACCUGCCAGUCCACUCAAUAUCUGACCCUAGCUGGGAUAACAAAGGGACAAGCUUAACUGACAGCGCAAACUACAAAGACUGCAUGUGUCAAGGAACAAACAGGAGGGAGCAUCGCUGACGGAAAGGCUGAAGGAGGCCCAGGCUAGUAUCAAGAUUCACAUCAAACACAUAGACUUCUGAUCUACAGUGUGCCAGCAGAAACCCUUGCACUGAAUCUCCGGCAGCAUUAGUCACCACAGCCAAAAGUGCCCACCGACGAGUGAAGGGGUAAAGAAACGUGAAACACACAUGUCUGGUCGGUAACUCGGCCUUUAAGAGGGAAAGCUGCCGGCUGCAGCAUGAACGGAACUUGAAGGCAGCAGGCUGAGUGCGGUAAGCGGAAUCCAGUGAGACAGCGACUGCACUCUUCUGUGUCCACAGAGUCAAAACACCAGGAGCGGGGUAGGGUGGCAGUGCCGGGGAGUCUGAGGGUGGGAAAUGACUGGUUAUUGGGUAUAGAGUUGUGUACUUCAAAGUGGUGACGCUGGGGCCAGAGACAUGGCUUGGGGUGAAAGUGUUUGCCAUACAAGCCUCGUGAUCCGAGUUCAGUCCCCUGAGGAUCCAAGUUCAGUGCCAC